rnacentral:misc_RNA from 1 species
GAUGAAGACGCAGCGAAAUGCGAUACUUGGUGUGAAUUGCAGAAUCCCGUGAACCAUCGAGUCUUUGAACGCAAGUUGCGCCUCAAGCCAUUAGGUUGAGGGCACGUCUGCCUGGGCGUCACAUAUCGUUGCCUGAUGCCAGUUUCCUCGUGAUGGGUGACUGUGCAGGGCGAAUGAUGGCUUCCCGUGAGCAUUGUUGCCUCAUGGUUGGUUGAAAAUUGAGUCCUUGGUAGGGAGCGCCGUGAUAGAUGGUGGUUGAGUGACGAACGAGACCCAAUCAUGUGAGACCCCUACCGAAUUUGGCCUUCAUGACCCACAUGCGUCUUUGGAACGCUCAUGACGAGACCUCAGGUCAGGCGGGGCUACCCGCUGAGUUUAAGCAUAUCAAUAGCGGAGGA